rnacentral:lncRNA from 1 species
AACAUGCUUUCGCUACUGGAGGGGGACUGCAUAGAGUGGACGGCACUCGGGUCUCGCUGCCGCUGUUCUGAAACCAUCUGGCUGGCUUUCUGAGGUCAGGCUGGGUGGGGGGCUGUCAUCGGCCAUGCUGCCGAUCAUACUCGCCCUCCUCAUCCCUCCAGCCAUGUCCCGCUGUUCUGUAAAUACCUGGUGCUAACAUCCCAUGCCGCUCCCCCGUGGCACCCCCAGCCACCUGCCCAGUUCAGGGCUGGUCCAGGAAUGGAUGUGGGGGAUGGUCGCUGUGUAAUGUGCCGGUGAUCUUUUUUUCCCCUUCCCCUUUAUGCCCCUUAAAACUUUGAUUUUUGUCCUAAACAUGCCGGGCCAACUAAAGGGUGGGGAGAGGAGAGAUGCGCCCCACCAUGCUCACAAGAACCAACCUGCAAUAAACACUUCUAUGGGCCGCCGCGCAGAGCACGCAGCGGGCACCUCCUGCCCCUCCGUGGUGACUUGGCAUCGCUUUCUGCCCUCGCCCUGCCUGCCCCACUCCCCAGCGGAGAGCAUGAUCCGCACCCUUGCUUCUGACUCUAGCCUCUGGGACACGUCAGUCAACGCGGGCAGUUCGGUCUGGGUUCCUUUCCUUUCUCUGUUCUCAUCUGGCCCCCCAGGGUGAUCUUGUUGCUUUUUGCUGGGACCUGCCAGCUUUGAGACUCUCCACCCCUUGGCACCAGCCUUAAGGGAGGGAGGGACAGAGCAAAUCAGGAGACCCAGCCUAGAGUUGAGGGCAAGGGCAGGUAGGCGUGAGGCUGUGGACUUUGCGGAAUGUUUCGGGGUUUUAUUUUGGUUUUUUGUUUUUCCUUUUUUUUUUUUUUUUUUAAACAAACAAACAAACCGGGCAAUAUUGUGUUCAGUUCAAGCUGUGAAGAAAAAUAUAUAUCAAUGUUUUCCAAUAAAAUACAGUGACU